UCCGGGAAGGGCCUGGGGAGCUGCAGGGAGGACCCGUGGGCAGCCUUGCCAUGCUGAAAGCCUUGAUCUUCUUGAUGGAAGCAAUUGAAUUCUGCCCUCGUCCUGUGGGCCAGAGGAGGACUUUGAGCUCCAGAAAGGAAAGCCGCUGACUCCUCAAUUCUGGCCUCUGAGAUGCCAAGCAGGGGACCCUGGGGAGCUGUGCCUGGACUCCCGACCCCUGGACCCUGAGAGCAACUCUGUACGGUAGGGAAUGGAAUUCCUGUUUUCCAAACGAGAAGAUGGACUCAAGAGAGCCAAAAGUACUUGCUCCAGGCCUCCCAGCUGGAGCCAUGUGAAGACCCACCCCAGCAUCCCAAGCCUGCUGCCAGGACGAAAUGAGGUCCCUGUAACAGUGGCCAUUGGACACAGCUUGGCAUUUUCCCUCUGACCCCACUCAGGCAGGCUUCCGAUGUCGACAGACGGCCCUCAUUGUCCCUCUGCCACCCUCUCUCUGCUCACCCUACUCUGCUGAAUGACUCAGCUCUGAACUGAGUGGGGGACUGCGGCAAACUCUCUGCCCUCCUCAUGCCCGACGCUGCCCUUCCCAGGCCAGACUCUGAACCUCGGA